CAACUCCUUAGUGGAUUGGGCUGAAAGAAAAUCAAACCCGUGAAAGCCCUGAAUUGAUGUGGUUAUGAAAGCGCAUUGGCCAAGCUGGCUUUCCUUCCUCUGACCCCCAUCUAACUAUGGUGAACGCCCUCGUGUUCAAGAUGGGGGGCCCCUGUUAUUGCAUCUUCACACAUGAUGUCCAAAGCAGGAAGACAGGAAGAGAAGCAAAAAGGGAUUUCUUCUUUGGCUACUAUCUCUUUUAUUGAGCAGGAUAAACCUGCCUCAGCAGACUGCUCCUAUGUUUCACUGACUGUGAGUCACAUGAUUCAUACCUACACAAGUCACUAGGAAAGAGCAGUAGAGAUGCCACAGUUGCCUUAGCCUGGCUGGAUUUGUUCCCUCAGGCUGGACCCAGAACCACCUGAUAAAACUCAGGAUUUAACAAACUAAGAAGGAUGCCAGCUCCAGGAAUGGGCUUAAGGAAACCUAUCUAUUUGCUUAAGGAUUGAGCUUGCCGUCCUGAUCCAGCCAACUCACCAACUGUGCUCCUUCCAUUCCAGUAUUCUCUCCCAGGAAAAAAUUUUUCUUCUACUAUGGUUCUGGCUUUGUGAUCUGUGUACAUUUAAUCAUUCGUGCAGAGCUUUAAAAUUUAUAGUGUGCUUCCAU
rnacentral:lncRNA from 10 species